AACGAACGCUGGCGGCAUGCCUAACACAUGCAAGUCGAACGAAGCCUUCGGGCUUAGUGGCGCACGGGUGCGUAACACGUGGGAAUCUGCCCUUCGGUUCGGAAUAACAGUUAGAAAUGACUGCUAAUACCGGAUGAUGACGUAAGUCCAAAGAUUUAUCGCCGAAGGAUGAGCCCGCGUAGGAUUAGGUAGUUGGUAGGGUAAUGGCCUACCAAGUCGACGAUCCUUAGCUGGUCUGAGAGGAUGAUCAGCCACACUGGGACUGAGACACGGCCCAGACUCCUACGGGAGGCAGCAGUGGGGAAUCUUGCGCAAUGGGGGCAACCCUGACGCAGCCAUGCCGCGUGAAUGAUGAAGGCCUUAGGGUUGUAAAGUUCUUUUGCCCGUGACGAUGAUGACGGUAACGGGAGAAUAAGCUCCGGCUAACUUCGUG
rnacentral:rRNA from 1 species